GAUGAACGCUGGCGGCGUGCCUAAUACAUGCAAGUCGAGCGAACAGACGAGGAGCUUGCUCCUCUGACGUUAGCGGCGGACGGGUGAGUAACACGUGGAUAACCUACCUAUAAGACUGGGAUAACUUCGGGAAACCGGAGCUAAUACCGGAUAACAUGUUGAACCGCAUGGUUUAACAGUGAAAGACGGUCUUGCUGUCACUUAUAGAUGGAUCCGCGCCGCAUUAGCUAGUUGGUAAGGUAACGGCUUACCAAGGCAACGAUGCGUAGCCGACCUGAGAGGGUGAUCGGCCACACUGGAACUGAGACACGGUCCAGACUCCUACGGGAGGCUGCAGUAGGGAAUCUUCCGCAAUGGGCGAAAGCCUGACGGAGCAACGCCGCGUGAGUGAAGAAGGUCUUCGGAUCGUAAAACUCUGUUAUUAGGGAAGAACAAAUGUGUAAGUAACUAUGCACGUCUUGACGGUACCUAAUCAGAAAGCCACGGCUAACUACGUG
rnacentral:rRNA from 1 species